rnacentral:lncRNA from 1 species
CCCACGACUAGGACCGUCCCAAACUUCCUGUUUCUUCCGGCCGCUCUGACCCCGGGGCUGCGGCUCCGAGAUAGCUCAGGGCCUGGAAGUGCAUGCUGGGACCAACUACAUAAUCCUUGGUAAGAAAAGGAGGUGGCCCUGACAAGUGCAACUCGAGAAAUGCAAUGCUGUAGAGUCCAAAGGUGUCUGACUUGAACGAAAUGAUCCCACUGGGGGACAAUGCAACAUAUACUCCAGGGUCAUGUUUUGUCAUGAUGCAGCAAGGAGAUCUGUUCCUAACUUGGACUUGGUUGUCUAACCCUCAUCUCUUCUCUUUAUUACAAGGUAAGCAUAGUGGAAAACAUAUUGGACUUAGAUUCAAACACACCUGAACCUGUAACUUAUGAGCCAGGUGACCUUGGGGGUAAGUAAAUUUAUUUCUCUAAUGGGGUUAAAUAAUGCCUACUCAAUGCUUUAAAAGAUUUUCAGUGUGGAAUAAGACUGCAAAUGCUUACAAUAAUAGCACUAAGACUAAUAACAGCUAACAGUUAAUUAUAUAAUGCUUACUAUAUGCUAGGCACUGGUAUUAAGGUCUUUACAUGAAGCACUCAAUAAAUAUUAGCUGCAGAGAAAUCUCACGGAAUUGACUAUAUAACCUGCCCUAACUGACGGGAA